rnacentral:rRNA from 1 species
GUGGGGAAUUUUGGACAAUGGGCGAAAGCCUGAUCCAGCAAUGCCGCGUGUGUGAAGAAGGCCUUCGGGUUGUAAAGCACUUUUGUCCGGAAAGAAAUCCUUUGGGUUAAUACCUCGGAGGGAUGACGGUACCGGAAGAAUAAGGACCGGCUAACUACGUGCCAGCAGCCGCGGUAAUACGUAGGGUCCGAGCGUUAAUCGGAAUUACUGGGCGUAAAGCGUGCGCAGGCGGUUUUGUAAGAUAGAUGUGAAAUCCCCGGGCUUAACCAGGGAAUUGCAUUUGUGACUGCAAGGCUAGAGUGUGUCAGAGGGGGGUAGAAUUCCACGUGUAGCAGUGAAAUGCGUAGAGAUGUGGAGGAAUACCGAUGGCGAAGGCAGCCCCCUGGGAUAACACUGACGCUCAUGCACGAAAGCGUGGGGAGCAAACAGGAUUAGAUACCCUAGUAGUCC